CUGGGAAACUGCCUGAUGGAGGGGGAUAACUACUGGAAACGGUAGCUAAUACCGCAUACGUCUUCGGACCAAACGCCGGGACUUCGGCCUCUUGCCAUCAGAUGUGCCCAGAUGGGAUUAGCUAGUAGGUGAGGUAAUGGCUCACCUAGGCGACGAUCCCUAGCUGGUCUGAGAGGAUGACCAGCCACACUGGAACUGAGACACGGUCCAGACUCCUACGGGAGGCAGCAGURGGGAAUAUUGCACAAUGGGCGCAGCCUGAUGCAGCCAUGCCGCGUGUAUGAAGAAGGCCUUCGGGUUGUAAAGUACUUUCAGCGAGGAGGAAGGCAUUGUGGUUAAUAACCRCAGUGAUUGACGUUACUCGCAGAAGAAGCACCGGCUAACUCCGUGCCAGCAGCCGCGGUAAUACGGAGGGUGCAAGCGUUAAUCGGAAUUACUGGGCGUAAAGCGCACGCAGGCGGUUUGUCAAGUCGGAUGUGAAAUCCCCGGGCUCAACCUGGGAACUGCAUUCGAAACUGGCAAGCUAGAGUCUUGUAGAGGGGGGUAGAAUUCCAGGUGUAGCGGUGAAAUGCGUAGAGAUCUGGAGGAAUACCGGUGGCGAAGGCGGCCCCUGGACAAAGACUGACGCUCAGUGCGAACGUGGGGAG
rnacentral:rRNA from 1 species